AAGUGCCGGGAUCGCCCCCCCACCAGCGUGUUACGCCCGUGGGGGCGCUUGUG
rnacentral:sRNA from 1 species